rnacentral:rRNA from 1 species
CCGCCAGAGUACUACGAGCAACAGCUUAAAACUCAAAGGACUUGACGGUGUUUUAUACCCGCCUAGAGGAGCCUGUUCUAUAAUCGAUAUUCCCCGAUAAACCUCACCAACUAUUGCAAUUCAGACUAUAUACCACCGUCCUCAGCUCACCUUUUAAANNAAAUAAAGUAAGCAAAAUGAUAAACAUAAAAACGUCAGGUCAAGGUGUAGCAAAUUAGAUGGGAAGAAAUGGGCUACAUUUUAUUAAGAUAUAAAACAACGGGAUAGCCUUAUUGAAAUUAAAACUAAAGGAGGAUUUAGCAGUAAAAAGAAAAAAGAGUGUUCUUUUUAAAAUGGUAAUAAAACGCGC